GAGCGAUGACAGAAUUCUGUGCUCCCGUGAUUGGUUGGGUCCAUCACAGCCGUCUGAUCUCACAGACGACAAGACGCACAUCUGAGCUC
rnacentral:snoRNA from 1 species